AAGUGUAAGGGUGAUUUGGCUACAAACUCUGUCUUCCACUUGGUUGGUCACUAGGGUUUAUUCCACUGCUCUGGCUAGAGGUUGUCACUUUCUUUCCUCACAGCUCCAUGUGUACUUGGUUGAAGAGGACAUCCUUCCCCAGGUAGAGAAAGGAUGUUCUGUCAAGUGUCUAUGAGUAGCUGGGAUCCUCCCCAAACAAGCUAAAACAUGUUAAAAUAUGCUAUGUA
rnacentral:sRNA from 1 species